CGGGCCAGCAGCACACAGUUUUCAAACCCUCAGUGAUGUCACAAUGGCCUUGCAUUCUUUCUGGUUUGCUCUGUGCUCCCAGCUCUUAGCCUCCUGGUGGCCCUGGGUGCCAGGCCUCAGGUGCCAGCCCUUGCCUACUGUAGAACCUGGGCUCAGACACCUUGAAUUCAAAGCACUACUACCGGCUGUCUAUGUGGCCUUGUGGGGGGAACCCCUUCUCUGUUUCGCAGUUUUCCUCGUCUGUUAGUUGGAGAGGGAAUGGUAUGGGCGGUAACACCGUGGUCAGUAGCAUGAGUAGGACGUGGUUAACAGGGCAUCUGGCUGUGCUGGGCUCAGUCAAUGUCCGUGGCUCCCAGGCCACAGAGGCAGGUGUGCAGUGACUUUACUUUUCUAUAGUGGACGCUCCGGUUUACUUCAAGGAUGAGUUCUGGGGAACAAGAAGACUUCUCUUUUGGGAGAACAAACAUGGUGACCCAAGAGAGUCAAGAGCUGAGAUUAGCUCACAGAUGCACCUUCCCCCACAUCCCUGGAGGCAGACACCCCGCAGCCUGCUUCAGGCUCCCAGGGGGUGCGUCCAGGCCCCCCACCCUGGGUCAUGGAUGGCACUAAGCCCAGCCCCGGAGCUCUCAUGAACAUGGGAUGCAGCCCCUCCUGCACCCAGUGCUCCUCCAGGGCUCCCCAGCCUUCAGACGCAUUUUAGUUCAGGAACAAAGACAGACCGUGGCUUGGCUUCAGCUCCGAGGUUCUGUCUGCGUGGCUCCCACCCGCCACGCUUGCCUGGAGCCGUGGAGAGCUGCAUCGUGGCUGCAUCGUGGCUGCCCCGGAGGCAGUUGAGCCCCAAGGCCGACCCUGAGAACCACAGGCCCAGAAAGCACCCUGUGAGUGGGAUUCACCUGUGAGCUCUCUCCCUUAGAGCCGCCCUACCAGAGCACCCCCCGAUGGAGGGCAGCCUCCUCACAGUUCUGGAGACUGAACACUCAAGGUCAAGGUGUCAGCAGAGGAAGAAGUUGCCCCUUGCCCUCCAGUUGCGGCUUGCAGUUUGCUGGCCAUCUUGGCCAUUCCAUUGGUUGGCUUGUAGACACAUUGCACCAGCUCUGUUUCCCUCUUCACAGGAAGUUCUCUGUGUGUGUGUGUGUGUGUGUGUGUGUAUGUGUGCGCGCGUGUGUGUGUAUACAUGCACCUCUGUGUGUAUCUCCCAGCUUCCCCUUUUCCUGAGGAUGCCAGUCCUUGGAAGAGGACCCACCCUGAUGACCUCACUUGAACUUGGCCCUCUGUCCACAUGAGGUCACACUCUGAGAUACUGGGGGCUCGGGCUUCAACACAUGAAUCUUAGGGGAGCACAAUUCAACCCACGACUGUCAACCACCCCCUCCUGCCACAGCUGGGGAUGCUGACGGCCGAGGGGAGGGGUUUGCCCAGCAACCUGGUUAGGGAAGGGAGACCCUCGGUCCAUCGCUGACCUCUCCACAGCACAAACCUGGGGGAGGCUUGAAGGCCUCCAGGAAAAGACUUGGCCGUGACCCAAGAGGGCUGACGGUGACAGUCCCAUCCAGAUCCCGAAGCCGCUCCCACAGGUGGGACCAGACAGUUCCAGCUCUUCAGGUCUCACAAGCACCGCAGCAGCUCUCGCUCCCCUCCAGAAUGUGGACAAGAGGCAGGGCUGUGCCACCCGAGUCAGAGGCUGCUGGACGAGGCCACGAGGGCUUCCCCAGGGGAGGGGCCAAGUGAAAAGCAAAGUUCCCUUGAACUUGGACUUGAGGUAGGCUGUUUGCUCAGACUGCCACUUUGGGUCUUUAUCCUGACACAUCAUCACCUGCUGUGGCUGGACUUUCCAAGAGUCAAUUGAUUAUUGAUCAGUCUGCCGAUAAGUCAACCAGGGGCUUAGCGGGUAGUAUCCACCGGGUGCUUAACGGGCCUUGCUCUCUACUGUCAGCCAGGAAACACCCACUGGAAGUCCCCAGUAAUGGCCACAACAGCAGGUGCAGUCCCAUGCCUGGAGCACUUCCCAUGAGUUCCAAAUCCUUUGCAAGGACCACUUUGUUGACUCUUUUCUUCUUCCUGUUCUGUUUCUGUGUCUCCUGAUUUGAGCUCUAGCAAUUCCUGCCCAGGGACCCUAUCCCUCCUUCUUCAAGUUGUUGUGCUCUGGUCAUUCCCCAGAUGUCCACCUAGGUGGACACGGGACAGGAAGCCCACGGGAGCCCCAGCGGGAGCCCGGAGUCCCUCCUGCCUGUUUCCAACUGCACCCAGCUGAGAAGGCAAACGGAGUCUCCACCUUUCCCUGGCUUCACCUGUGGCAGCCAUCACUCGCGGCUCACAACACCAUCUCUGAGAACUUUCCAGAAUGUGCCUGGCGUGGGUGAUUGAACCCGAUCACUGAUGCGCGGACUCUCAGUGGCCUGUUCAGCACCGUUGCAUGGGUGGUACCCAUCCUCUCACCUUCCUGGUGGCAGUGGGAGAGAGGGGCUCAGCAGAUAAAGAAGAGAGGAGUGGAGGAGGCCACUAGCAGAGCAGAAUGGGGCUCACAAAAGCAAGGGACAAAAGGCUUCUGUGCUCUGGCUGCAGAGGCCCGGGUGUGUGUUGGAGGGUGGGAGAGCAGGCCAGGCUGGGGCUUUGUUUCCUGAGCCUCACUUCCACCCCACUGCAGAGUGCUUUACGUGCACACACCUAAUCCCUACGUCCUCUAAACUGCCUGAGAGAGAGGCUAUGAUCCUCACUUUACCACGAGGAAGCGGAGGUCCCUGGGCUCCCUUGUCAAAAGUCGGUACAUCCAGCGCUGGGAUCCAAGCAGGGGGUGAGUGGAGAUUCUCAGGGUGCAGCUCCUCCUUCCUGCCCUUCCACCCCAGGACAGCUGGGCACUGAAUAAAAACCCUGUGUGUGUGCAUGCCCAUGUGUAUACACGUGUGUGCCUGUGUGUCUGUGUGUGCAUGUGUGUGCAUGUGUGACUCUGUGUGUGUGCAUGUGUGUCUGCAUUCAUGCAUCUUUGUGUGCAUGUUUGUCACUAUGUCACUGUGUGUGUUCAUGUGUGUGCAUGUGGUGCAUGUAUCUAUGUGUGCACGUGCUGUCUCUGUGUGCGUACAUGUCCAUGUAUGCACAUGUGUCUGCAUUCGUGUGUGUGCAUGUGUGUGUGUCUGUGUAUGUGUGUACGUGUGUAUCUCUGUGUGCAUGUGUGUGUCUGUGUGUGUGUUGUGGGGAGGGUGCAAGUGACAAUGAGGGCUGGGGGCUGAGCAGAACAAAACAACAGGCCCUCAGGUUUCCGAAGCGUGUGUACAGAGAAGAAACAAAAUCACUCAGAAAAUAAACAGCCUCUGCCUGCCCCACACUUCGUGCCUUUGUUCCCUCCACCUCAUUCGCUGCUCCCACAGCCCAGCCCUGGCCUGAUGGCCCAGAGACAGGGAGGAGGGGCUGCAGGCUCCCUCACCGCAGCACCCACCUGCAGUAAGUGACCAGCAGUCUCCUUUCUUCUGAAGAAAGAAGUGGUUUCCUUGUGUUCUAUGCAAAUGAGCUGCUUGUACAUGUGCAUCCAUAAUGCAGGAGCUGUCAGGUUGGGCUGAGGGUUGGCUGGGCUGCAGGAGGAUAAGGGAGUCUGUGUGCUGGGGUCAGGCCUAGGGGCAGAGGACUUCGGGGUACAGGAGGCUGGGAGAGAAGGAGCCAGGUGCAGGGGUCAAGAGAGGGAGUGAGGAAGCCCAGGCCAGAGCCUCGGGUGAGGAGGCCAGACCUGGAGCCAAGGUGCCAAGGAGCAGUGGCAGCAGCUGGAGUCGGGGAGCACCAUGUGCCAGGGUGAGGAGAGAGGCCUGGGGCUCUGGGGCAGCUGGGCACCCCACUGAGUGUCAGGAAAAGGCUCAGGGCAGCCUCGGAGGGGCGACCUUGGAAAGGGGCCAGGAAGCCUGUUGCAGCGAGGCUGUGUGUGAACCACGUCACUGUGGCGGCUGAGCAUAGCCUGCACAGCCCCCACAGAGCAUGGCAAGGCCCAGCACAGCUCCUGAUGCGCGCGGCGACGUUCAGACCUGGUGGUGUUGCUGACCCAGACUUGAGCUGCAAGUCAGCGUGAAACUGCUCCAGUGAGCUGUAGCAGAAGGGCGAGGUCUCUCACGGGGCCCCGGGGCAUCUCCUGGACCCCACACGGGCAAGGGAGCCCACACAGGCCCCUCUGCAUGCCCUGUGGGCUCCUGCAGUCUCCUGGCUCUGCCCCUGGCUACGUUCAUGUCCACAUGGCAGAAGUACCAGGCCCCAGCCCCUGACAGCACAUGUGUGACUUUCUGCCCCUCCACACGGCAUAGGCUAUCCAACCCCCUCCCAAAUUCCCUGGGAGGAAGCCUGAUUGGACCAGCUGGGAUCAGGUCUAACGGGGGCCCACCAACUGUGGCCUGGGGAACAGGGACUGUAUCAUGGCCAUUCACAGACUCAAUUAUUCGUUCCCAAAGAGCUGCGGAGCCCCUCCCGGGUGCCAAGUCUAUCAGAGGUACCAGGGGAAAUGGAAGAGCGACAGCAGACAAGGAACCGCUGACACUGGGCACAAGGUGGCAGAAUAAUGGUUUGGCGGGGUAAAUAGAAAGUCCUGGGGGGGGGGGGCGGCGCUGUGGAGCAGCGGGUUAAUGCCCUGGCCUGAAGCACCGGCAUCCCAUAUGGGCGCCGGUUUGAGACCCGGCUGCUCCACUUCUAAUCCAGCUCUCUGCUAUGGCCUGGGAAAGCAGUGGACAAUGGCUCAAGUCCUUGGGCCCCUGCACCCACAUGGGAGACCCAGAGGAAGCUCCUGGCUCCUGGCUUCGGAUCAGUGCAGCUCCAGCCGUUGUGGCCAUUUGGGGAGUGAACCAUCAGAUGGAGGACCUCCCUCUCGCUCUCUGCCUCUCCUCUCUCUGUGUAACUCUCACUUUCAAAUAAAUAAAUAAAUCUUAAAAAAAAAGAAAGUCCUGAGAGGGGACAGGGUAUAAACAGUUUCACAGAAGAUGGCCAGAGAAGGCCUCCUGGACAAGGUGACAUUUGACAAGGGACCCGAAGGGAAUUCAGGAAUCAGGUAGUUGAGUAAGGGAGGAACGGGGCUCCAGGCCGAGAAGCAGGUGCCAAGGCCCUGGGUGGGAGGGGCAGGAUGGGUUAGGAAAGGUGGAGCCUUCAGUGCUGAUGGUGGGUGUAGGAGUGGAGUUAGAGGAAUGGCAGGGCCCAGCUUGGGCAGGCUCUGAGCCAAGGGGGGGGGCAGAUCCCCAGAGCCACACCCACGGCCACCAGUACUCUCUACUGCUUUUUUAUUUUUUUAAGAUUUGUUUUAUUAUUUCAUUUGAAAGGCAGAGCUGCAAAGAGAAAGAAAUCUUCCAUCUACUGGUUUACUCCCCGAAUGGCAGCAAUGGCCAGGGCUGGGCUAGGCUGAAGCCAGGAGCCUGGGACUCCAUCCGGGUCUCCCACGUGGGUGGCAAGGGCCCAAGCACUUGGGCCAUCUUCUACUUUUUCAGGCAUAUCAGCAAGGAGCUGGAUUAGAAAUGGAAAAGCCAGGACUCGAAGGGCACGUGUAUGGGCUGCCUGCGUCGCUGGAGGCAGCUUAACCUGCUGUGCCACAGCGCCAGCCCCUGCCCUUGACCUCUUGUUCUGCGUCACUCUGACUCCCCAGGGGGCUGCACCCCAGUCACAGCAGUAGGGACCCCGCAGUUCUGCAGCCUGAACUCCCUAGUCCAGGGCUUCUGCAGCCGCCCUCUGCUUCUGUACCCAGGAAAAACGUCAACCAAAAGCAUGGCUUUGAAUUCCUUUACUUAUUUUUUAUUUAUUUAUUUUUAAACACACUUACUGUCUAAGGUGACCUUAUCUGUAUUUUAUGACCGAGCACCCCAUGCACAUUUUAAAAUCUUCUGGACUGUGGCUGAAUAUUUCUUUUUCCUUCUUUUGUUAAGAUUUAUUUAUUUAUUUGAAAGGCAGAGUUACAGAAAGGCAGAGGCAGAGAGAGAGAGGAAGAGAAGUCUUCUAUCCGCUGGCCCACUCUCCAGAUGACCACAACAGCCAGAACUAUGCCGAUCCAAAGCCAGGAGCCAGGAGCUUCUUUUGGGUCUCUCAUGUGGAUGCAGGGGCCCAAGGGCUUGGGCCAUCCACUAUUGCUUUCCCAGGCCAUAGCAGAGAGCUGGAUCAGAAGUGGAGCAGCCGGAACUCAAACCAGUGCCCAUACGGGAUGCUGGCACCGCAGGCGGCAGCUUCACCCACUACACCAAAACACUGGCCUCCCUGAAUUCCUCUAAGGACCACAGAAGUGAAGGAAAGUUUGUCCUCUAUGGGGAAAACUUUUUAAGAGAUGGGGGAAACCUGAGGAUCAGCUCCCUGGAUAACCUGUCCCCAGCACGAGGUAGCCACCAACGUAUUCAGAUACAACAGGGGUGGUCCCAUGCGCAGGAAGACAGCCCCAAGCCAAUCCGCCAGCCCUGGGCAUCCGGCAAGUGUGUGCUGAGCAGAUCUGGUCCCCGGGACUUCUGGUCCUCUCUCCCUCCCACCCCACCCUCUGCUCUCACCCUUGCUGCUGGGACUGUGCUCACGGCGCCAUAGCACCCUCUGCGUCCGAAUCUGCUUUCUGUUGGUCAGGACUAAGGUAGCUGGUAAAAGGCAUGGCCCUGGGUCAUAGAUCCUCAAAACUGGGAUUUAGGAGUUGGAUUGCCUGCUACUAACUGAAGAUAGGAGGAUGAGACACCUGUGUAGACAGCCCUGAAAAUCUUGAACCUCAGAGUCCCCCGCGCUGAGCCAGGUAGGCCAGAAGCAGCAGCACCCCGCCCCCCUUGCCACAGUCUCACCUGGACACUGUGGAAGGACAGCACCCGAAGCUGAGCGAGCUGGGAGAGUGUGAGAGGGGACGCGCUCCUGCUCAUGAAGGGCAGUGACGUGUGGCCUGGGGAGUGAAAGGCGGAGCUCAGGUUGCUACAGGAGGUCAGAGAAGUGAGAUGCACAGCCCUGAGAGGUGUCAUCGCUAGGUAUGGGAAUCGCCAAGAACUGGGACAGGGCAGUGCUGUGGGAAUAACACCCAUUAGGUAACAUCUUUUUUUUUUCUUUUGACAGGCAGAGUGGACAGUGAGAGAGAGAGAGAGACAGAGAGAAAGGUCUUCCUUUGCUGUUGGUUCACCCUCGCUCCAAUGGCCACCACGGCCGGCACACCGCGCUGAUCUGAUGGCAGGAGCCAGGUGCUUCUCCUGGUCUCCCAUGGGGUGCAGGGCUCAAGUACUUGGGCCAUCCUCCACUGCACUCCCUGGCCACAGCAGAGAGCUGGCCUGGAAGAGGGGCAACCGGGACAGAAUCCGGCGCCCCGACCGGGACUAGAACCCAGUGUGCCGGCACCGCUAGGCAGAGGAUUAGCCUAGUGAGCCGCGGCGCCGGCCAUUAGGUAACAUCUUCAGGAGUGGCUGGGCUCUACAGAUGACUGCAUCGAGGAAUGACAAGGGGUGUGGUCCGAGGGCUUGGCCUCAAAGCAGCAGAUAGAGUUCAACAGUGAGAGAGAGAGACAGAGAGAAAGGUCUUGCUUCUGUUGGUUCACCCCCAAAAUGGCCGCCACAGUCGGAGCUGUGCCAUCCGAAGGCAGGAGCCAGGUGUUUCCUCCUGGUCUCCCAUGCGGGUGCAGGGUCCAAGCACUUGGGCCAUCACCCACUGCCUUCCCGGGCCACAGCAGAGAGCUGGACUGGAAGAGGAGCAACUGGGACUAGAACCCAACGCCCAUGUGGGAUGCCGGCACCGCAGGCGGAGGAUUAACCAAGUGAGCCACGGCGCCGGCCCCCUGAUCGUAGAUCUUAGCAACCUUGCCAUACAACUUUUUUUUAUUAAGUCAAGAAUUUCGCCUUUUCACCUCCAGGAAGCAUUUUAUGCUUCUCUUUGGCAUAGAGUAGCCUUGCUUUGCUAUUUUUGUGUUUCCUUGAAUAUUUGACCAUAGGGUGGUUGGUAUACACAGUGUGGAUUCCCUACACAAUGGGAUGAUUCAGAUCCCAGGUGGGACAGAGCAGGACAGUGCAGUUUCAGGUGGCCAUGCAGAAAGCACACAAUGUAUACAUUGUCUGUUUCUAGAAUUUUCCAUGUCACAUUUUCAGAUCACAGCUGGCCAUAGAUAACUGGACCCACUGAAACUGAAAGUGUGGAUAAGGGGGAACUACUACAAAUAUCUGUCGAGUGCCUACUGUGUGGCUGGACUCACACCAGAUGGGAGAUGAGGUCGAAAGAAAUACAGGUGCCCAGGAUGAUUACAAGAUUUGUGGCCCGAGCCACUGGAUGACCCGUGGCACCAUUUAGUAAGACAGGAAGAGGCAAUGGAGCUUGGGGGUGGAGGGAAACAAAACGUUUGGCUCCUGCCAUGUUCAGUUUAAUAUCCUUUUUCAUAUCCCAGUGGAGACGUGAAGCAGAAAAAUAGACAUACAAGCACAGGACUUGGGAGAUGGCUCAGAUCCAAGGACAGCCAUUUGGGAGUCAUCAGCCAGCAGAUAAUAUUUAAAGCCACAAGACAAGAUGUGGUCGCCCGGAGACUGAAUGCUGGCAGGAGAGAGAUGAGGUUGAAAACUGAGUCCCGUGACUGCUAUCAGAGGAGAAGUAUUCUGUUUCUCCAACUGCAAUUGCUCCAAAAUCGUAUUUAAAUCCAAAGCCUCAUCAGCUAUUCCUUAUAUCAAUGCACAGGCUUCCAGAACAUUCCACAAGCCCUACUUUUUCAGGAGUAGAUCUUUGCCACUUAAGGACUGGUUUGCUGUCAGAUCCCCACCCUUCUCUGACUAUCUCCACCUUGCCCGGCUUUUAACCAUCCUAUGCCUCCCAAGAAGAGGGAACCUGCAGUAUAGAAGAAAGAAUCCAAGAGCCCUCACCUCCAGCGUUUGCUGGGCAUGUCACUCAAUGUCUCUGAGCCCCAGUUUCCUCGUGACCAUGGAGCAGAUGUCAGGAUCUCUGUCUCGGAGCUGAGGGAUUUGACGUGAUCAUGGCUAGGAAAGCUCCUGGUGGCCAGCGGGUGGUGAACUCAAAGCAUGUCAAUAUCGCUUCUGGAGAGUGAUCCCCGCACUGCUCCGUGUCCACUCCCUCGUUCAUCGAUUCGUUCGUCUCUAACAUAUUCACUACAUGUCCAAGCAUUUAUUAUCCAUCUAUUACGUACUGAACAACCCUGUGGGGAAUGCGCAAAUGAGUCGGACACGGUGCUGCCUUCAGGGACUGAGAGGAGAUUAGACACGUCCAUCACGACUGUAACACGGGCAGAACGCGGCACAGGAAAACCCCCCACCGGGCCCACAGGGGCUGAGAGGGAGAGAUAACUUCACAAGGGAUCAGUGAAGAUCCCAUGCGCAGCUCUUAGCCAUUCUUCAUGCCACAGUCCCCGUCGGCAGGGCGGUGGAGCCUGCAGAGCCUUCCCCGGGAUCAGGCUUUACGGCACGGAAAACAGCAAAUGCACCGGAUUACAAGGAGAGCUAACUGUGCUAGAGUCGAGAUACCAAAGUAUUACACCUGCCACCUGCGAAACAGAAACGUAAGGGCUGCUUAGUUCCUGAACAGCAGGAUCUAGUCGUGUUCUUAAGGCAACUGUACAUUCAUAGUAUCUAUUUUUAGACAAAUUGUUAUUGAUGUAUUCAGUUAGUUGUUAGUUAGUUGAAAGACCAACAGAUGGACAAAUAUCCCUCAUAUACUGGCUCAUUCUCCUAAAUCCCUGCAACAGUCAGGGCAGGACCACGCUGAAGCCAGGAGGUAGGAAAUCCACCCAGGUCUCCCACAUGGGUGGCAGGGACCCAGCUGCUUGAGUGUGUUGCCCCCUAGGGUGCACAUCGCAGGAAGCUGGAAUUUGGAAGGCAGUUGCAAUUACAACACAGGUACGCCAACGUGGAAUGCAGGCAUCUUAACCACUGUGCCAAACGCCCGUCUACAGGUGGUAUAAAUUACAUGCCAAGAUAUACGCCACAGAGGUGGGCAUUGUGGUGCAGUGGAUUAAGCAGAUGCUUGGGACAAUCUCAUCCCACAUCAGAGUGCUUGGAAUCAAACCCCAGCUACUCCAUGUUUCUUUCACUUUUUUUCCUAAGAUUUACUCAUUUAUUUGAAAGGCAGAGUUACAGAGGGGGUGGGGGACACACAGA